rnacentral:rRNA from 1 species
AGAGUUUGAUCCUGGCUCAGGAUGAACGCUGGCGGUAUGCUUAACACAUGCAAGUCGAACGGUGUCUUCGGACACAGUGGCGGACGGGUGAGUAACGCGUGAGAAUCUGCCUCUAGGUUGGGGACAACAGUUGGAAACGACUGCUAAUACCCAAUGUGCCAAGGUGAAAGAUUUAUUGCCUGGAGAGGAGCUCGCGUCUGAUUAGCUAGUUGGUGAGGUAAAGGCUUACCAAGGCAUCGAUCAGUAGCUGGUCUGAGAGGAUGAGCAGCCACACUGGGACUGAGACACGGCCCAGACUCCUACGGGAGGCAGCAGUGGGGAAUUUUCCGCAAUGGGCGAAAGCCUGACGGAGCAAUACCGCGUGAGGGAGGAAGGCCUUUGGGUUGUAAACCUCUUUUCUCAGGGAAGAAGAUCUGACGGUACCUGAGGAAUAAGCAUCGGCUAACUCCGUGCCAGCAGCCGCGGUAAUACGGAGGAUGCAAGCGUUAUCCGGAAUCAUUGGGCGUAAAGCGUCCGCAGGUGGUUUUUCAAGUCUGCUGUUAAAGACUGGAGCUCAACUCCGGAAAGGCAGUGGAAACUGAGAAACUAGAGUUCGGUAGGGGUAGCGGGAAUUCCCAGUGUAGCGGUGAAAUGCGUAGAUAUUGGGAAGAACAUCGGUGGCGAAGGCGCGCUACUGGACCGAAACUGACACUCAGGGACGAAAGCUAGGGUAGCGAAAGGGAUUAGAUACCCCUGUAGUCCUAGCUGUAAACGAUGGAAACUAGGUGUGGCUUGUAUCGACCCGAGCCGUGCCGUAGCUAACGCGUUAAGUUUCCCGCCUGGGGAGUACGCACGCAAGUGUGAAACUCAAAGGAAUUGACGGGGGCCCGCACAAGCGGUGGAGUAUGUGGUUUAAUUCGACGCAACGCGAAGAACCUUAUCAGGGCUUGACAUGUCGCGAAUCUUGGUGAAAGCUGAGAGUGCCUUCGGGAGCGCGGACACAGGUGGUGCAUGGCUGUCGUCAGCUCGUGUUGUGAGAUGUUGGGUUAAGUCCCGCAACGAGCGCAACCCUCGUCUUUAGUUGCCAGCAUUAAGUUGGGCACUUUAGAGAGACUGCCGGUGACAAACCGGAGGAAGGUGGGGAUGACGUCAAGUCAGCAUGCCCCUUACGCCCUGGGCUACACACGUACUACAAUGGUUGGGACAAAGGGCAGCAAACCCGCGAGGGUAAGCGAGUCUCAUCAAACCCAGCCUCAGUUCAGAUUGCAGGCUGCAACUCGCCUGCAUGAAGGAGGAAUCGCUAGUAAUCGCAGGUCAGCAUACUGCGGUGAAUUCGUUCCCGGGCCUUGUACACACCGCCCGUCACACCAUGGAAGCUGGUCACGCCCGAAGUAGUUACCCC